UAUGUGUAUAUAUACAUAUAUACACCAACCCCCCCUCCCCCAGUAAAGCUGAAGUUUUAUGAUCAGUUUGCUGCAGGAGGGUUUCUGAAAGCAGAAAUCCCAUGAUGCUGGAGGCAUCCCACUUGCCUGUCUGUCCUUUGGCAGCUGGCUGUGCUGUGAGCAUCCAGGCAGUGUCAAGGGCAGGGUGGGAGCUGUGUGGCACAUGGGGCUGGUGUGAACUGCUGGUUCAGCUGGGGCACAGCCCAUCACCUGCAGGUGGAACAUACCUCGCCAGAGAAGGCAGUGAGGUGCUCUGCAGACAUCCCGCUGGACCAACCCAUGGCCCUUGCCCCCUGGGGCAGCUCUUUGCUUUUCUUCCUUCUCUUGCACCAGCAGCUUCUCUUUUGUUCUUCUUCCACCCUAUGGGAAGGUUCAGUUUUAUUCCUGGUUCUUUUUGCUUGAAACAGGAAUACCUGUGUGCCUGCCCUAUUUAGAAUUUCUUGAUAAAAGAGAAUUCUUUUCUAUUCAAACCCUUUUCCUUUUUUUGUCUGUUUCUGCCACUAAACUCUGUGGGCUUCUGGGUUGUGCUUUUCCUCAAACCUGCCAGUUAAACUGUGCAAUUCAGAGGAGAAUGUGUAUGACAGUGACCUGGGAACCUGUGACUGCCCUUGUCCUUACUGCAGGUUUGAAGGUAGCCUGGUACAAAAUGGCUUCAGUCCUCACUUUCCUUGCUCUUAAAAUGGGUCAUCCAGCCUUUUCUCCUGCAUCUAAGUGGUCCCAGUCGGGCAGGUAGCAAGAUAAGAGGGAAAAGAGAAAGAAAAGAAAGAUUUAAAAAGGAACACAAACCCAUUUUUAAAUACAUGGAGGUUCCCUGCAUUCUCCAAAUCAGAUUGAAUUACCUGUGGAUGCACACAGACUUCUGGGCUGGAAGGGAGCAAGGGCUACUCUUGUGCAGUCACCACAGAGGACUGGGAGCAUCCUUGCCACUGCCUCAUCCUUGCAGUCUGUACCCCUUCCUGCAGCACUCACUGCAUCUGUGUUUUGCAGUGCCAGCCACAGGAACAGCAGUGACUCUCAGGCAUUCCCUGUCCCACAGACAUGCCAAAUCCAUCUAAAGUGCUGCCUGGAUGAUCAGUGCUAAUGGGACAGUUUUUUAUUUCAAUUUUUAAAGCAAUAGGGAAAGGCCACAUACAUAUUUAUCUAGGUCAGGGGAGAGUUUGUCCUUUCUCUUAUAUGAGGCAGUCACAGAAUCAAAAGAUGGCAAAUUGUUUUUUAUUGCUUUUAGACCAACUCUGAGUAAAGUCCUUCCCAGCAUUUAUAACAGCUAAUAGUUCAAUCUUCAGGUAGACUUGCUUUUCCUACUUGCAUUAAAAAAUUUUGGUGAACAAAAACCCCUACUGAGUUGCAUUUGUUAUACAAAUGGCAUGUUCAUCUAAAAGCAUAUACUCUGGAGACUAUUUAGUUUUCUGUCUGUCAGACUAAUGGAGUUUGUAUUCUGUGUAUCAGAUAAGAUCUUAUAUUAUCUGUGAUUACGGGUGAGACUGGACAGUCUAAAUCACCUAUGUGUUGAGCUGGUUAUGCUGGGAGACAGACACAAAACCCUGGCAUUGCAAGCUGUCCAACUCAUGACUCUUCCAUUUCAGAAAGCCCCUGUCUGAAAGUCAGGUUUCCCUGCAUUGACUAAUAUUUGGUAUAACUCGUACUUGUAAAUGUGUUUGUCUGUACAGGGGUUUUAAACUCUAAAUGCAGAUGUACUACAGUUAGGAGAUAUUUAAACAUACAAAUUACACUAAAGGAGAGCUAUUGAAUGUAGGUGUGAAUUAUUUAAAUCUUCAGUAACUGGGCACUCUGAAUAAAGUGUUUUGGACAGUGAAGAAGUAGGAUGCAUUUCUACUCAGAAAGUGUUUAUAUAAAUGUAAUGCAUCGACAUGGACUUAAUUACUUGCUAAUUUUAAAGAUGAAAUUUCAGUUAAAUGCAUUUUAAUCCUCUUAGUACAGCAGAGGAUGAACAAAACAGUGUUACAGGCUGCAACAGCCAAGCCCUAUUCCUUUAUCCUUGGUGCUUCACCCGUGCCCAUAAGGACAGCUCCUGGGUGCCACACAGGCUAACCAAUAUGUUCACAGAGUUAGCAGGACCAGAAGAGUGGAAGCAAGUCCCGAGUCUGUAAUUUACCUUCAUUGGCAUGGAACUGCCUUAUGCCCAUUCAGCUUUGUCAGGUAACUCCUUUAGGUUUACAGGCUUGGAAGGCAGUUGUUUUGAUGGAGGAUGAAUGGCUGUCUGCCCUAGGUUAGUUUGGAAGAAGCUCAGCACCAUUCUUAAUGUGCUUGGCAUAUUUUCUUCAGGAGGCACCCUGUGGCCCUGCCCAGAAAAGCGGUUGUUCUGGCCCGGUUUUAAAACAGGAAGCUCAGUGGAUGAAAUUGUGCUUUAAGUUAAUGGUUUCCCUAGGUCAGCAUCUUUGUUGCCAGCAGGAAUGCACUCCAGGUCUUUCAGAGUGCACAUCUGCAUCCAAAUGUCACUUUCUUCAUUACCUCACAAAUUCAGUAGUUCCCCAAAACUCACAUUCUGCACUGACAGUAAAUGUCAGCCCUUAUCUUGCCUGUUGCUUGGUCUAUGCUGUGCUUAUAAAGAUGAGCUAACCUCUCAGGACUUUGUUCUGUGAGUUUUCCCUCAUUUGUCAGUUACCUGCAGCACAGAAAUGCUCCAGGGACCUUUCCCAGCACCAGAUCCAGACACAUCACCAUACACAUUUCAGCUUGCCACUGUCCCAGAGUCUGCUCGAGGCACAAAGGACCAUCUGCUGCAACAAGGCUGUAAAAUUUAGUGACUGGGAUGGGGAGGCAGCACUACGGAUCAGUGCGUCAGGUGUGUGCUUCUCAAAGAGACAGUCUGGUUAACUCGGGGAGGUUUGCCGGCUGAGGUAGCCGGAGACAGCCAGUGCUGCCUCUGUCAUCUAUGAAUGACAUUUUGCUUAAACUGAGUGCAACUACUUCUGAAAUACCUGCUUGCCCUUUCUCCAAACCAGGCAAAGGGAGUCCUAGGACCUAAUUCAUACCCCCAGCCCUGUUCAAAGCUUUUAUCCAGUGAUGGUCGCUUGCAAAGUAAUUUCUUGCAAAAUACCCUGCACAAAAUGAGGCGUGUCUUUGCCACUUGCCAUGCUUGGGCAGGCAAAGGGCUUGGGCCCUGUCAGUCUGGCUCUGCUGGCUUGUAUGCACUGUCCUAGCACUUCUGCACUUAGGCCAGCAUGCUUUUGUAAUUGGACAUAGUGCUGGGCAGAAUUGCAUGGAUCUGAGUGCCCAGGAUGCAGCUGGGAGGAUAACGGACACCUUACAGCACUGCAUGAGGUCAUGUAUUGUCUAGCUAGGGACUUCAGCAUAUUGAGGUCUUGAGAAUAGUCACGUCUGGGGAAAAGGGUUUUAUAUAUCCAUAUUUCUGCAGUCUUUAACAUGUGUAGUAAGUGCACCUAAUACUUUGUCACUAUUAGCAUCUAUGAGAGUAGUAUGACUAAUGAAAGGGCAUGCAGUCGGGUAAAUUCAGACAUAGUUACCUCUUGUUAGGAUAAACAGCUGAAUCAUCCCAGUUAGGAAUUUUGCAUUUUUGGGGACACACUGCUUGCACAUAGGGAAGGGCAAAGUGCUUGUCUCAAAUGGGCAGAUUAUUAGCCUUUAAUUAAGAGGAGGAUCUGGACAUGUGUCUGAUCUUCCUGUACCACACAUUCUCAAGACCUGAUUAAUCUCUGAUUAGCACUGCAGGCUGUUAAUUUCUGCUUUAAUAGUACUGAUUUAUGUUGUCUAAUAUAGGCUACACACAUAUGACAAAAUACACUGGGUCAGGACUGUCUGAAACCUGAAAUUUGUCUCUGAGUAUUUGCAGUCAUUGUUUUUUCCUUACUCUGAAACCACAGUGCUACAGAUGAAAAGACUUGGUUUCUAUCAACAUUUUUCUUUUCUGUUUAGAGAUUUGAUUAUCAAAGAGGAAAAUGUCCCUCAGAUUGUGGGUCGCUGUGGUACAGGCUUAUUCUGUUCUUGUGAUACCAUCAAAAGGUAAAAUUGGCCAGUGAUACCAUACACCACACCAAGAAAAAAAAAAAAAGAGGGUCAGGAGAAACACACACUCGCACACACAAGUCCUUGAACUUGCACGAAGAGAUAUCAUGUUACACUUUGCAGUGUUUCCUAGGAAACCAGUUUAGUGUAAAAGGAACUCUUUGUCUCCUGCUCUUUGUAAAAUUGUUUGAACCACCAUAUCUCAUAAGGAGGUUGUUUCACAGACAAUUAUGCAUUUAAUAAAAGCUCAAUCUGUAGUUUGCUGCACUAUCAGAAGCAAUAUCUUUAUCAGCAGUCUGAAUACUUUAGACUGUAUUUGUUGAGAAUUGAUAAGUUUAUGUCAUAAUUUCCAAAAAUCAGAGAAUAUUCUAGUUUUCUUUUUUUUUCUGACAUGGAAUCUCUUUCUCUACUAGCAAGGCAGUAUAGAAAAAGAAAAAAAAAAAAAAAAACGCAACACCAAAAAAACCCCCAAAGGGCUUUUUUUGCUUUGUGAAGCUCUUGGAAAGUGCUUUGGGAAGUUCUUAUCAGCACCGUUUUACUAGCAUGUUGGCUGAAGCAAAAGUACAUUUUGCUUUGUUUCCCUUUAAACACAGAAGAGGUGGAACAGGAUUUCCACAAUCAUUGCUCCAACUCCCUGGCGUUGCCCAUGUGCUUGUGGGUGCGACCUGCCCAAAUCCAGAAGGCUGGAACAAAGGACUCAUCUGCGCUGAACUAUGUGUGGCUUUCACUCCUGCAGGCUGAGUCCCUUGGCUGUGCAAAGUGCUUCCCCAAAACAGGGCAGUUUCCUAGCUGAUGCUUGUAGGGGGUUUUUCUGUGCAGCCUGAUUGCUCUGGAGGGUGCAACCACCUCAGUCCUGCUCUGCAGACAGGCGUGGAAGUCCUGAAUACUAGGGCAGGGCUUGCAGGCCAGAGAAAGAUAAGGGUUUCCACUGAGCUCUUUUCCGUUAUUUAUCAUCUUCCUUUAAAUGCAGCACUCGAUGUCUGCUAUUUCGUUUUAAGGAGAAUGAAUGUGAGGGCUCACAGGGCCUCCACCGCUGCCAACAGGCUGUCCUGUGCUUCCCCUGCACUUUGCGUAAAGAGCUGACCUAAUGAGUUUUGUUCCCUCCUGUAGUCCCUGUCAUUUACAGUUGCUAUAAUUUCCUGUCAUAGCUACUUUUUUCCUCCCCCACCUCCUUGUGAUAUUACAAGAUUCAUCUAUAAGGCUGAUGUGCUCUGACUGCAGCAUGGUAGAUUUGUCUUUGUCUUAAUAUAUUAUUUAUGAUGCUAUUAUUCCUUUCAGUGGACUGCCAGCCACGGACUGCAUACGGUUGCUGGUCUUCCAAAUGCACCAUGGCCAGCAAAGGAAAACACUGAUCUAAUUGAAUUAACAGUGGUUCUGUUAGCCUUAAUAGAGUUUGUCAUGGAACACUAAGCAGAUGUGACAAAGAUCUUGGUUAGUCAUAUCUUUGUCCCUACUCCUAGACAUGGUAACUGUUAGCCAGAUCAGUGGAAAGGAUAAUUCUCCUUUGCUGAUCAGUAAUUGUGCUUACCCAGACAUGUGGCAAUCACUUAGAACUGAUGGCUGAAAUAAGCCAUGGACUUGAAUAGCAGAAAGUUUUAUAUUCUGACAAUAAACUUGGCUAAUUAAAACAAGAUGCAGAUGGUACUGCCACCUAGCAAUUUUCACCUCACUUACUCCGACUCCAAUUAUAGCCUUUCCCUACUGACUUACACUGUUUAAAUUACAGUCAGGGGGUAGAUGACUAUUUACCUAUUUCUAUUCAUACAAAGAAGUCUAACACAUCAUUGUUCUCCUGAACAAGGCAUGUGAAGAUGGGCUUAGUACUCAUUCUGAAAAGUAUCUCCACUAUUCAAAAGAAAGGAAAAAAAGUAAUAAAAAGACUACUUAGAGACUCAUUAGCAGACACAUGCAUCAGCAGGAAGCAUAUGAAUAUUACACACACAGUGUGUCUCUCUAACACUUGUUCAUUGGAGCAGGUGCCAUACUUCUGGGAAAUUAACUUUAAUUGGAUAAAUUAAAAACUGGCUUUAACUAAGCCAGUCCAGCCCACUUUCUUAGCUUAUUAUUUUCUUUACUCCCUGAAAUGCCUGAUGUUAAUCCCUUGGGUGACUUUCACUUCUUCUUGGGGUAAAUUAUGUUUAGAAGGAGAGGUUAGACAAUCAGCCAUCACGAAUGGAUUAGGUUUGCUUGAUCCUUCCUCAGUGCAGUGGGGUGGAUAAGACUACCACUUGAGGUCCUUGAUGUUGCUUUAAACAAGCUUUAUCAGCAAACAUCAGGGAGCAAGAAUCCAUGCCCAGCCCUGGGAGAGAACAUAGAGUAAUCCUACAAAUUCCAUGGCAGAAGAAUGAUAUGAAAUUAAAUCCCAGAAAUUGCUCUGGCCAUCACUGUGUUGCUCUUAGUGUCAAUGCAUUACUCUUAUGGCACUUCAUUCUGGCACCCCCUUUCAUGCAAAACCAGCCCUGUGUACUGCCAUCCUGCUGGCAGUAAAAUGCACUGAACUGUGCAUGCUUUUCCUGAUUGCCUAAUUGUUUUUCACAUGAGGAGCUUUCAGGUGCAAAAUAUUCCCUGCUGUAGAAGCUACAGUGGGGCACGAGUUGCAGUUAUCUUUGAAAUUAUACUCUUGGGUAGUUUGAAAAUAUAUAUCUGUUGGAGGGAGAGGGGAGGAACAGGGCAGUGGACCAGGAUAUAUUUACAGAGGCCUAUUGUUUUGAGUCAUUCAGCUGCGUUCCAUUUUGUGUAAAAACAUGUAUGCAAAUUAAUGCUGAUUGGAAAGGAACUUCCAUGCAUCAUUGAUGACAUGCUAAAUAAGGUCAACAUGAGUACCAUUAAUGCGAUAAAUAAGAUGACACUAACUUGACAGAAGUGCUCAAAGCAUCCUUGCUUUCUCUUGGGUUUCUUGUUUGCCCUGUUCAGCCUCAGGGAGCUUCUUCAGUGUGGCACUGGCAGUCCCUGUAGGGGACAGAUCUCAUGAUUCAAAUAGACAGCAUAUAGCUCAGUGGUCUCCUCCCCUGUCAAAAGCCAGCAUACUGCAGGCUGAAGGCACUGCCUCUUUUGGGGUGGGGAGCUGUGGGUGCUCAGUUGAAGAACUAUUCCUUAGCAGGGUGCUGCUGUGGGUGCCUGCACUCUGCUUUGCUGCCAAGACCCCACCGGGGCAGUGGUUCCUUCAGUUCCUCUCCCGGUCAUUCCUGCACAGCAGAAGGUAAGACAAGUCUCUGUCAGAGACUGUUCAUGCCAUCUCAGAAGUGUACCUUUGGGGAGGUGUUGCGAAGGAAUAAUUCUUUAAGGGGCUAGGUUCACACUUUCCCUUUGGCAGCAGGUUUUGGACACAUAAGCAGAGCAGUUAUCCCAAAUGGCUUGUGCAUCAGGGCACCUUCUUGCCCUCUCUCCUUUAAAUGGACCCAUGCCCAUGCUUUAAAUGGACCUUCCUUCUCCAGGCAAGACAUGGAGGAGCUAUGCAAAAGGAGUCAUCCAGCACCACUACUAGAGGCAUUCCUGGGCCUGUCCCCCAGAAUUAGUCUCAGGCAUCAUCCUUUAAAUCAGCCCUAUGAAGCACAACAGAUUUAUGCAGCUAAAAGAAAAUAUAGGCUCCUCUGUUAUUAAUAUGUAAAGUCUGGAGAUGAAGUCACAUCUGUAUGAUGAUCUAUUUUGGUGGACCACGUGUGCUUAAAUCCCAGGCUUGAUCUUUCAAACUAUUAAGUCUGCCAUAAAUAUUUGACAAUGAACAAGCUUAUAAAAAGAAAAUGCAAAAUAUGAAUAGAGGGAGAGCAAAUGUGUGAUUCAAUUUUUAAUUAUCAGCACCACUACAUUCAAGUUCAUCUUCUUUAAGAGGCAGAAAGUAACAAACUUCUUUCUCACUAUAGCCUAAAUGAUCAGCAUUGCAUUUGUUUGUAUUUUUAAAGGAAAAGGAUAAAUCAUUGUAGAAACAACAGAAGCUGGAAACAAGAAACAAAGUAGAACAGUCUGGUUUUAUUACCAUAUGUAAUCAAGAGCUUUUAUUUCCCAUUUCUCCUCCUUUUUUGUUUUUCUUUCUUGCCUUUUUUUUUACAACCGACAUUAAGUUGUGAAUCAUAUGUUAGGGGGAAGUGGAAAUGAAGGGAAACUGGUGACAUCACAAUACUUUACAACUUUACAACAAAUGAGAGUCUGAAUUUGUUGCAUCUACCAGUGUAUAGCAAGGGUGGAAAGCAAAGGCACACAUAGGUUCAUGAACCCCUCAAAACAGAGGGUGGAAGGGAACUGGGGGUGGGAAAGGAUGAACACAGAAGACCCACUGAGUACGAAAUGCACAUUUCAAGGUCAACUCAUUAACUGUGGUGUACACUGCGAAGGCAGAUCUCUGCACAAGCUGUUGCCGUGAUUAUUCAUCUCUAUGUUUUGGGAGAAUGCUUUGAGGGAUAAUAUCAAGGGAACCUGCGUGUUUGGUGCUUCAGGGGUUUGGAGCUUGUAAAAAGGUUGUGAGUU